GCGUCUCUUACAUCAAACACGCAUAUCACGAUCUCUCCCAGUCCCUUCUGUGACAAAUCCCUUCCUUUCCGUUUCCUUCCACAAAUCUCCAAAAUACAAAAUUUCUCAUCAAACCCAAUUUUCACUUUUAUCUCUCUACAACCUUCUCUCUCUCUAUCGAAUGAUUCCAGAACCUUAAUGAAUCCCUCCUCCACCACCACCAGCUUCAUGGACCACUGCCUUCACUGCCGUCCUACAUUCGAUGCCUGAACUGCGUAGCCGAACACGCAGAAUUCUGAACUGCGUAACCAUCAUAAUCCGAACCCGGUUAAGUUCACUGUACAGACUCGUAAAAGAAGAACCGCGGAGGUUAACAACAAGAUAAAAAAGAACGCGAUCGUUGAUGAUAAGGAGAAAAUUGUGAGAUUACCUGAUACGAAGCCGUAUAGAAAGAAAAAGCAAGACGAGGAAGCCUGGGCUUUGAGAAAAGACGAAGGGAUUGCUAAUAAGAAGAUGGACGAGUAUGAUAGCGGCGGCGGACGGAGCGCCGACAAGGGAACGGGAGCGGAAGAUGAAGGAAGCACUGCUCCUCUUCCCGAGAAGGUCCAAGUUGGUGGUUCUCCAACGUACAAAAUAGAUAGAAAACUGGGCAAAGGAGGUUUUGGACAGGUUUAUGUUGGUCGAAGAAUUGGUCCCACUAAUUUUUCAAAUGAAAGAACUGGUCCUGGAGCUUUAGAGGUAGCAUUAAAAUUUGAGCAUAGAAGCAGCAAAGGAUGUAAUUAUGGACCACCUUAUGAGUGGCAAGUUUACAAUGCACUUGGGGGCAGUCAUGGUGUGCCACGAGCUCAUUACAAAGGAAGGCAGGGUGACUACUAUGUUAUGGUUAUGGAUAUGCUUGGACCUAGUCUAUGGGAUGUUUGGAAUAACAACUCACACACGAUGUCCAUUGAUAUGGUUGCUUGCAUUGCCAUUGAAGCCAUCUCUAUACUCGAAAAGAUGCAUUCUAGAGGAUAUGUCCAUGGGGAUGUGAAACCUGAAAACUUUUUACUUGGUCCACGAGGAACUCCUGAAGAAAAAAAGCUGUUUCUUGUUGACCUUGGAUUAGCAACCCGGUGGAGAGAUAGUUCAAAUGGUCUUCAUGUUGAAUAUGAUCAACGCCCAGAUGUUUUUAGGGGAACUGUGCGAUAUGCCAGUGUUCAUGCUCAUCUUGGUAGAACUGGUAGCAGGAGAGAUGAUUUAGAAUCUCUUGCCUACACUCUCAUCUUUCUUCUCCGCGGUCGACUGCCUUGGCAAGGAUACCAGGGGGAAAAUAAAGGGUUCCUUGUUUGCAAGAAGAAGAUGGCGACUUCUCCAGAAGCUUUGUGUUGCUUCUGCCCUCAGCCUUUUAGACAGUUUGUUGAGCAUGUUGUAAAUCUGAAGUUUGAUGAAGAGCCAAAUUAUGCAAAAUAUAUCUCCCUUUUUGAUGGAAUUGUGGGUCCAAAUCCAGACAUAAGACCUAUUAACACUGAUGGUGCUCAGAAGCUUAUAUAUCAGGUUGGGAAUAAGAGAGGGCGGCUGACAAUGGAGGAAGAAGAAGAUGAACAACCAAAGAAAAAGGUCAGGAUGGGGAUGCCUGCAACACAGUGGAUUAGUGUUUAUAAUGCUCGUCGGCCUAUGAAACAAAGAUAUCACUAUAACGUGGCUGAUGUGAGGCUCUCCCAACACAUAGAGAAGGGUAAUGAAGAUGGAUUAUUUAUCAGCAGCGUGGCUUCUUGCUCAAACCUAUGGGCCUUAAUUAUGGACGCUGGCACUAAUUUCAGUGCUCAAGUUUAUGAGCUGUCUCCUUAUUUUCUCCACAAGGAAUGGAUAAUGGAACAGUGGGAGAAGAAUUAUUACAUUAGUGCAAUUGCAGGAGCUAAUAAUGGGAGUUCAUUAGUUGUGAUGUCUAAGGGUACUCAGUAUUUACAGCAGUCUUAUAAAGUAAGCGAUUCUUUUCCCUUCAAGUGGAUCAAUAAGAAAUGGAGAGAGGGUUUUUAUGUCACAGCUAUGGCCACUGCUGGAAGUAGAUGGGCGAUAGUCAUGUCCCGCGGCACAGGAUUUUCAGACCAGGUUGUGGAGCUGGAUUUUCUAUAUCCCAGUGAAGGCAUUCAUCGUAGGUGGGAUGGUGGUUACCGCAUCACUUCAACUGCAGCAACGUUGGACCAAGCUGCUUUUGUUCUCAGUGUGCCAAGAAGAAAACCAGUAGAUGAAACUCAAGAAACACUUCGAACUUCUGCUUUUCCCAGUACACACGUCAAGGAGAAAUGGGCAACAAAUCUUUAUAUUGCAUCUGUUUGUUAUGGUCGAACUGUCUCAUGAAUGACAAGUUUUGCUGGGGAUGCUGUUGCUGUUAUCAUGGAAAUUUAGAAGACAGUUCUCACCACUUAUGAUACUCCUUUGAGAAGCAAAGAUCUGCUUAAGCCAAAUUGACUCGUCAUGGCAUUUGGGAGUCAAUGUAUGCAAAACUCUACCUUAAUGUAGCCAUCACAUAGCAUCCAUUAAUACCUGUGCACUAACUUUCAAUUGGGUUGAAAUGCUUUUAGGGUGGCAUCGAUUUACCCAUUGCUAAGAAGUUUGUAUAGUUAUGAACAGUAGUUGAAGGGGCGUGCACUGGCCUUGUCUUCAUUAUUGAUGAUUUUGGUGUAUUAUCAGGCAUCACAGGCUAAAUUGUGAAUACUUAUGGUCAAGUUCUUCAAGGCAGGAAGCAAGCAAGACUACUACUUCUGUAAGAAUUUGUGUUACUGAAAGAUCAACUUAUCUUUUUGCUUGCGGCUUCCUGGGAUCAUCAAAUAGAUGAGAAGUUCUUCAGACUUGGAACUACCUUUGAGCAUUCUUGACCAGGAAUUAUAUGGACUUUGAACCUUGUGUACAAACUGAAUGGAUAGAUGUUCGAUGUCUGAUAUGAUUAUUGAAUGCUAGCGAGAAACAAUGCCUCUUCCUCAUGUCAAUGGAUAAAAGAAUGGAUGGGUUUUACUGUGAAGACAACCUGUUGGGAAACAAGUAGUGUUCUAAUUAAAGAGCUUGAUCACUACCUAGACCAGGGUUCUUCUGAUGUGUGGUACACGAUUGAAAUUAGCAAGUUUGCUUCUUCCUUGAACAGUUUGCACUAUCAUUUGCAUGUGGCUAACAUAAAGCUGACAUGGGUGAUGUUUGAUGGGAUACUACUAUUGACCCCCUUUGAUGGCUGCAAAUUAUGAUGACAAAAAUAAGCUAAUAAUUAAAACCUUCAAUUUCUUGCUUGCAUUCAAGAAAUGGAAGGAAGGAAAGAUCUCCAAUAAAGUGGCUCAGGCAUGUUGGAAUUGGAUGGGGUAGAGUUGGAAGUUCCUUCUAGAAACUCUUUCCUGGGACCGUUCUCCAUGUAGAAUGAUUGCUGGGCUCGUAGUAUAAUGAAGGAGAAAAUUUGAUUUUAUUGUUCCCAUGGUUAUCUUCGUCUCUUCUUACCUAUUAAGUGGUUUGUGUUUAAUAGCAACUGUAAACAGAGUGCAUGAAAAUCCAUCUGUUCACGAAGGCUCAUACAAAAUGCAGUUGCUAGCUUGUCAAGUAUGAUGGAGCAUUCAGUUUCUGGACAGAGUGCACUUUGGAUGCCGGUGGGAAUUUCCAAGGCACUGCACUGGAUGCAAUGUUUGGCAAUCUUCCAUUUUACAUCAUUUAUUUAUGUGACCUAUUCAUGUUUAUACUCGGUUCGAGCAAUGCGCUGCCAUGCACAAAUUCAGAUUUGUUUUUGGAAGAUACGUGAUAUGAAAUGUUGUUCUUCGUUGCAUAAAA